GGUUAAGCGACUAAGCGUACACGGUGGAUGCCCUGGCAGUCAGAGGCGAUGAAGGACGUGCUAAUCUGCGAUAAGCGUCGGUGAGGUGAUAUGAACCGUUAUAACCGGCGAUUUCCGAAUGGGGAAACCCAGUGUGUUUCGACACACUAUCAUUAACUGAAUCCAUAGGUUAAUGAGGCGAACCGGGGGAACUGAAACAUCUAAGUACCCCGAGGAAAAGAAAUCAACCGAGAUUCCCCCAGUAGCGGCGAGCGAACGGGGAGGAGCCCAGAGCCUGAAUCAGUGUGUGUGUUAGUGGAAGCGUCUGGAAAGGCGCGCGAUACAGGGUGACAGCCCCGUACACAAAAAUGCACAUAUUGUGAGCUCGAUGAGUAGGGCGGGACACGUGGUAUCCUGUCUGAAUAUGGGGGGACCAUCCUCCAAGGCUAAAUACUCCUGACUGACCGAUAGUGAACCAGUACCGUGAGGGAAAGGCGAAAAGAACCCCGGCGAGGGGAGUGAAAAAGAACCUGAAACCGUGUACGUACAAGCAGUGGGAGCCUCUUAAUGGGGUGACUGCGUACCUUUUGUAUAAUGGGUCAGCGACUUAUAUUCUGUAGCAAGGUUAACCGAAUAGGGGAGCCGAAGGGAAACCGAGUCUUAACUGGGCGUUAAGUUGCAGGGUAUAGACCCGAAACCCGGUGAUCUAGCCAUGGGCAGGUUGAAGGUUGGGUAACACUAACUGGAGGACCGAACCGACUAAUGUUGAAAAAUUAGCGGAUGACUUGUGGCUGGGGGUGAAAGGCCAAUCAAACCGGGAGAUAGCUGGUUCUCCCCGAAAGCUAUUUAGGUAGCGCCUCGUGAAUUCAUCUCCGGGGGUAGAGCACUGUUUCGGCAAGGGGGUCAUCCCGACUUACCAACCCGAUGCAAACUGCGAAUACCGGAGAAUGUUAUCACGGGAGACACACGGCGGGUGCUAACGUCCGUCGUGAAGAGGGAAACAACCCAGACCGCCAGCUAAGGUCCCAAAGUCAUGGUUAAGUGGGAAACGAUGUGGGAAGGCCCAGACAGCCAGGAUGUUGGCUUAGAAGCAGCCAUCAUUUAAAGAAAGCGUAAUAGCUCACUGGUCGAGUCGGCCUGCGCGGAAGAUGUAACGGGGCUAAACCAUGCACCGAAGCUGCGGCAGCGACACUAUGUGUUGUUGGGUAGGGGAGCGUUCUGUAAGCCUGUGAAGGUGUACUGUGAGGUAUGCUGGAGGUAUCAGAAGUGCGAAUGCUGACAUAAGUAACGAUAAAGCGGGUGAAAAGCCCGCUCGCCGGAAGACCAAGGGUUCCUGUCCAACGUUAAUCGGGGCAGGGUGAGUCGACCCCUAAGGCGAGGCCGAAAGGCGUAGUCGAUGGGAAACAGGUUAAUAUUCCUGUACUUGGUGUUACUGCGAAGGGGGGACGGAGAAGGCUAUGUUGGCCGGGCGACGGUUGUCCCGGUUUAAGCGUGUAGGCUGGUUUUCCAGGCAAAUCCGGAAAAUCAAGGCUGAGGCGUGAUGACGAGGCACUACGGUGCUGAAGCGACAAAUGCCCUGCUUCCAGGAAAAGCCUCUAAGCAUCAGGUAACAUCAAAUCGUACCCCAAACCGACACAGGUGGUCAGGUAGAGAAUACCAAGGCGCUUGAGAGAACUCGGGUGAAGGAACUAGGCAAAAUGGUGCCGUAACUUCGGGAGAAGGCACGCUGAUAUGUAGGUGAAGCGACUUGCUCGUGGAGCUGAAAUCAGUCGAAGAUACCAGCUGGCUGCAACUGUUUAUUAAAAACACAGCACUGUGCAAACACGAAAGUGGACGUAUACGGUGUGACGCCUGCCCGGUGCCGGAAGGUUAAUUGAUGGGGUUAGCGGUAACGCGAAGCUCUUGAUCGAAGCCCCGGUAAACGGCGGCCGUAACUAUAACGGUCCUAAGGUAGCGAAAUUCCUUGUCGGGUAAGUUCCGACCUGCACGAAUGGCGUAAUGAUGGCCAGGCUGUCUCCACCCGAGACUCAGUGAAAUUGAACUCGCUGUGAAGAUGCAGUGUACCCGCGGCAAGACGGAAAGACCCCGUGAACCUUUACUAUAGCUUGACACUGAACAUUAAGCCUUGAUGUGUAGGAUAGGUGGGAGGCUUUGAAGUGUGGACGCCAGUCUGCAUGGAGCCGACCUUGAAAUACCACCCUUUAAUGUUUGAUGUUCUAACGUGGGCCCCUUACCGGGGUUGCGGACAGUGUCUGGUGGGUAGUUUGACUGGGGCGGUCUCCUCCUAAAGAGUAACGGAGGAGCACGAAGGUUGGCUAAUCCUGGUCGGACAUCAGGAGGUUAGUGCAAUGGCAUAAGCCAGCUUGACUGCGAGCGUGACGGCGCGAGCAGGUGCGAAAGCAGGUCAUAGUGAUCCGGUGGUUCUGAAUGGAAGGGCCAUCGCUCAACGGAUAAAAGGUACUCCGGGGAUAACAGGCUGAUACCGCCCAAGAGUUCAUAUCGACGGCGGUGUUUGGCACCUCGAUGUCGGCUCAUCACAUCCUGGGGCUGAAGUAGGUCCCAAGGGUAUGGCUGUUCGCCAUUUAAAGUGGUACGCGAGCUGGGUUUAGAACGUCGUGAGACAGUUCGGUCCCUAUCUGCCGUGGGCGCUGGAGAACUGAGGGGGGCUGCUCCUAGUACGAGAGGACCGGAGUGGACGCAUCACUGGUGUUCGGGUUGUCAUGCCAAUGGCACUGCCCGGUAGCUAAAUGCGGAAGAGAUAAGUGCUGAAAGCAUCUAAGCACGAAACUUGCCCCGAGAUGAGUUCUCCCUGACUCCUUGAGAGUCCUGAAGGAACGUUGAAGACGACGACGUUGAUAGGCCGGGUGUGUAAGCGCAGCGAUGCGUUGAGCUAACCGGUACUAAUGAACCGUGAGGCUUAACCUU
rnacentral:rRNA from 1 species